rnacentral:rRNA from 1 species
UACGGAGGAUGCGAGCGUUAUCCGGAUUUAUUGGGUUUAAAGGGUGCGUAGGCGGCCCCUUAAGUCAGCGGUAAAAUUUCUGCGCUCAACGCAGUCGUGCCGUUGAAACUGGGGGGCUUGAGUCUAGAUGAAGUGGGCGGAAUUUGUAGUGUAGCGGUGAAAUGCAUAGAUAUUACAAGGAACUCCGAUUGCGCAGGCAGCUCACUAAGCUAUCACUGACGCUGAAGCACGAAAGCGUGGGUAUCAAACA